CCUACGGGGGGCAGCAGUGAGGAAUAUUGGUCAAUGGACGAGAGUCUGAACCAGCCAAGUAGCGUGAAGGAUGACUGCCCUAUGGGUUGUAAACUUCUUUUAUAUGGGAAUAAAAUGUUCCACGUGUGGGAUUUUGUAUGUACCAUAUGAAUAAGGAUCGGCUAACUCCGUGCCAGCAGCCGCGGUAAUACGGAGGAUCCGAGCGUUAUCCGGAUUUAUUGGGUUUAAAGGGAGCGUAGGUGGAUUGUUAAGUCAGUUGUGAAAGUUUGCGGCUCAACCGUAAAAUUGCAGUUGAAACUGGCAGUCUUGAGUACAGUAGAGGUGGGCGGAAUUCGUGGUGUAGCGGUGAAAUGCUUAGAUAUCACGAAGAACUCCGAUUGCGAAGGCAGUUCACUGGACUGCAACUGACACUGAGGCUCGAAAGUGUUGGUAUCAAACAGGAUUAGAUACCCCUGUAGUC
rnacentral:rRNA from 1 species